GCCAUGCCCGGGAAUUAGAUUGUUUGAUCCUGGCUCAGGAUGAACGCCGGCGGUGUGCCUAAUACAUGCAAGUCGAGCGCACUGGCCMAACUGAUAUGACGUGCUUGCACUGAUUUGACGUUGGAUUCCCAGUGAGCGGCGGACGGGUGAGUAACACGUGGGCAACCUGCCCUGAAGCGGGGGAUAACAUCUGGAAACAGGUGCUAAUACCGCAUAACAACGGAAACCACAUGGUUUUCGUUUCAAAGAUGGCUUCGGCUAUCACUUCAGGAUGGGCCCGCGGUGCAUUAGCUAGUUGGUAAGGUAACGGCUUACCAAGGCGAUGAUGCAUAGCCGAGUUGAGAGACUGAUCGGCCACAAUGGAACUGAGACACGGUCCAUACUCCUACGGGAGGCAGCAGUAGGGAAUCUUCCACGAUGGGCGCCAGCUGAUGGAGCAACACCGCGUGAAGUGAAGUAGGGUUUCGGCUCGUUAAGCUCUGUUGUUGGUAGAAGAACGUGCGUGAGAGUACUGUUCACGCAGUACGGUAUCCAACCAGNAAGUCACGGCUAACUACGUGCCAGCAGCCGCGGUAAUACGUAGGUGGCAAGCGUUAUCCGGAUUUAUUGGGCGUAAAGCGAGCGCAGGCGGGUUGCUUAGGUCUGAUGUGAAAGCCUUCGGCUUUCCGARGAGGUGCCUCGGAACCAGGGCGACUUGAGUGCAGAAGAGG
rnacentral:rRNA from 1 species